CCUGUGUUCCCAAGGAUCACUGUAGACCAUAAUUUGAAUGAAUAAUACCUCAUAAUUUUGGUCAAAGAUUGAUUGAGUGCCUAGCACGUGCAGGUAGGGUGUUGUGUUAGAAAGAGCACAAGCUGUAAGUAGAGAGAAACUUGGGUUUGAAUCAUGCCCGCACCACUUUUAUUUACUGUGUAUUAGUCCAUUUGUCAUUACUAUAACAAAACACCUGAGACAAAUUACUUUUGGAGAAAAUAGGUUUUUUUAGUUCUGAAGAUUCAAGAGCAUGGUGGCAUCAACUUGGCUCUGGCGAGGACCUUUGGUGUCAAGCAUGUGUAGGAGUAAGAAUCACAUCGCCAAGCAGGAAGCCAGACAGGCAGGAUGAGGCCAAGCUAAAUUUUUUAUUUUAUUUGUUAUUAUUAUUAUUAUUAUUUGGUGCUAGGAUAGAACUCAAGAGCACUCUUCCACUGAGCUACAUCCCCAACCCUUAAAUUUGUUUUCUUUUUCUGAGAUAGUCUCACUAAGCUGCCCAGGAUGAAUUUAAAUUUGCACCCUUAACCGUAGGUCCCAAGUAGCUGCAAUUAUGGGUGUGCACCACUAUGCCCAGCUAAAGUUUUUAUAAUAACCCCCUCUCCCAAGAACUAACCAGGAUCUUUAAUCCCCUCUGAGGACACAUCUUCAAUAGACCUAAGAACCUUCCACUAAACCCCAGCUGCUAAAAGGUCCAUGCCACCUACUGACACUGCGAUCCUGGGGAACAAACUUCCAACACAUGAACUUUUUAGGAGAUAACACCCAAACCAUGGUACUAUAUGAACUUUUCAAGAAAUAUAACUGAACUUCAGCAAAACAGGGACAAUAAUAUUCACUGGCAAAGUUACCAAGAGGAAUAGUAAUAGUAUAUUAUAUGUAAAGGGCCUUGCUCAUAGAAGCAGUCAAUAACUAGUAGCUGUAAUAAUGUCCAAGAGACACAGUGAGUAGUUUCUGGAAUAUACACAAAGGGGACACAGACAAAGUGCCUUGGCCUGUGUAAUGUGCUAACAUGCCUUCACACACACAUACACAUGCACACACACACACAUUCUUUGAGUUCCCCCAAAGAAAUGGGAGAACAGAUUCUCUUCCAGCCCUGUUUUUAUAAGACUGAGGUUUAGAGAAGUUAGAUAAUUUCAGAUCACCCUGAUACUAAGUGAAGGAGAUGGAGUUCAAACUGCAUCCAUAAGAGGUUCACUGUCAGAAGAGAAAUGAGCUGUGCGGAAAUAGAUAAAGAACAACACAGAUUUGCUAGGAGUCAGUUAGGUGGCAGAACCAAAAAGUAAUAGGAGUUUAGCGAGGCAGGUAUUUCUGCAGAUCAGGUAGCUGGAGGAAGCAAAAGGAAACUAGAGGAUUAGAACUCAUUUUUCUUGCAGUACAUCUCUGUGCUCCUGGCUGUCACCAUCACAGCGGCCUAUUGGUCCUGGAAGCCCAGCCUGGCUGCUGAAGGGAAGGAGGCUUUGGUUCAGCUCCCUUUAGUUCAUGGCAUGUGAAUAUGCAGGCCUUUUCAUUUCACUUUAAAAUUUUAUCAACCUGUGAUUCUUUUCAGCAUUACUGCAAAAGUUCAUUGCCAGAGUUGUUUUUCUUCAAUUAGCACAAAACCCAGGUACUAUUUAUAGAAAUACGUUCUAAAUUGUUUUCUCUAAAAUUAUAUGCUAUGAUGUUGAGCUUGAUUUGCACUUGAUAGUUUUCAAAACAUCACUGGGCUCUACUGCUGCCAUACCCUGGCUCCUAGUGGGUGUUAACAGCAAUUCGUUUACUUAAUAUAUGUAGGUACUGAAUGCUUUUUAUGUGCCCGACACUGGAGUUGCAGGCUUCUUGGAACAUACAUUCUAUGAUUAACUAACGAAGGCUAUAGGAAUUUAAUUUGAGUAUCAAUAAGUUUUAACAGAUCAUUAAUAAAAACUGGGGUAAACAAACUUUGUGGCUUUAAUGAAAAUAUCGUAUACAAUGUCACACAGAGAAAUUAAUAAUUCCAUGUGACAGGAAUUUUGGGGGAAAAUUUCACGUUUGGGCCUGUAAAUAAGUCCUCCUGUAGACUGAGGUCAAGUCUAUGAAGCAGAGUAGUUUACACAUCUUUGAAAUUUGAUCUCCAUUUCAGUUGAAAAGGUCAAAAUUGGAUUACAGCAUCUUGCCUUUCCUCUUCAGGGAUCCUUAGGAUCAAUGACUAAUUCCAUUUUUUUGGGUUUUUUUGGUACCGGGGAUUGAACUCAGGUCCUUGCGCUUGUGCAGCAGGCAGCAAAACCACUGAGCGAAAUCCCCGGCCUUCUAAUUCCAUUUUUUUUAAGUUAGAUAGAAGGUAGCCCAUGUACUCAGCCUCUGGAGGUCAUGUCUAGUUUGACCACUUCCCAUUGUGCAUAAUGCACAGAUUAUGUAUUUGUGGCUGUUCUGUGAGUAAUGUGGAAUAUAUGCUUUUAGGUGUUUUAAAGUACAUGAGGAGGUUGAAUUUCAGUAGCUGAUGGGAUUCUAAAUGUUUUAGUUUUUAUUAUUCUAGCCCCUCAAAUUUCCCUGGAAUUGUUACCCAUUAGAGCAUGUUUCUUCCCAGAAUGUUCUUGGAAUUCUGUAUUUAUGCUACUGUUGUAUUGCUCAGGAGAAAAAUAGAGCUUUUACUGAGUUCCAGUAAAUUUAGGAUGUGGUCUGAUACCUCCCAAGGGAAAAAAGGCAAAGACUGGUUUAGCUUGGGGUUGCAUGCUUCAUUCUUCACUUGGUUUCGCUUCCUUUUCCAUUUUAGUGGCUUCCCAUUUCGUCCUGUGGCUUCCUGUUCCUUGACUAUACUUUCCAUAGGCAAAGUUGUUUUCUCAGAAGCUGCAUUUCUCCUAGGUUGUUCUCUCUCUCUGGCCCCUGUUGUGUUUCUUCAGAGGUCUGGCUGCUGCUACAGCGCUUACCUCAGAUCCAGGCCAGCCUUGCCAGGCCUUGCUCGGCCAACCCAGCCUUCCAGCUGCCACUCAGCAGCUCAGCACCAAAACCUUCUCUCACAUGAAUGCUUUCCAAGGAACAAAUGCAGAACCCUCUGUUUGGGUCAGCUGACGUUGAACAAGGGCCGGGCGGGGGAGAGGGAAAAGCAUCUAGGACCAGUCUUCCCAAGAACAAGUACUUCUAACUUAAGGAAUAAGGGGAAAUUUGUAUUUUAAAACCAUUCAUGGGCCAGGGAUUUAGCUCAGUGGUUCCACCACCUGCCUUGCAAACUCAAGGUCCUGAGUUUGACCCCCUGGUACCAAAAAAAAGAACCUUCAAUAACUAAAUACCUAGAUGAUGAUAGGAGGGAAGUACUCUAUUAGCCUUAAGAAUAACAAAUAUAGAGAAGUUACUAGAUAUUUGGGCCCCCAAGAUAGCUGAGAACUCAUUUAUCAGCUCCUCUACUUACCAGCUAGGCACCGAACCGGGGAUGGAACUCAGUGGUAGAGUGCUUGCCUAAGACACACAAGGUCCUGCGUUUCAUCCCCAGAACCAGAAAAAAGAAAGAGAAGAAAAGUGGCACCUCAUGUAAGAACCUCUGGAUUCUGUCUUGUCUUUAAUACGUGUGCGUGGUAGGGUGCAGGGGUUGCUAGAAGUCACACAGAUAAAGCAAUCACAAGAUAAAGGUUGUUAAAUAAAGUAUGGUAAUUCUGCUGAAACCUGUGAAGAGUCAAAAUGAGUCCAUGGACCGUGCACCCUGGGCCCCUGGACUGAUACAUAAUCCUUCUGGGAUAUUUUGCUUUUAUGACUUCAGCUGUAAGAUGACACUGUUCUUUUGCAACAGCACACCAAGACUAGCUAAUUAAAAUGCUGUACCGGCUCAUUCAAGAAAUAUUUACUGAGUUUCUACUACACGUAAGGUAUCAUACAAACAGACUGUGUAAUAUUAUAUAAAAAAUUAAAAAUAG
rnacentral:lncRNA from 1 species